AUCUCUCUCUCCUCCUCCUCUUCCUCCCUUUCACCUCUCUAUCCUCUUCCCUUCCCUUGAUCCGCCCCUGCUCUCCCUUUCCCAGGACUCUUUGGAGCGACUGUAUUGAUGAGAACUUUCAGCAGUGGAACUCAUUACGCCUGCCAGUCACCUCCACUGUGGCUCUCCAUGGAGAGACUGCCUCAUCCCCAGAAGAGGGCCCCCAGGAACCCCAGCUUCCACUGCUCAAGAUGAAAUUACUGCAGAGUGCAGAUCAAAGCGUCAUAAGACUCACAGCCUCCUCCAGACAGCUUCAUUCAGCCGUCAUUAAAGUAACUCCAGUGACAAGAAAGACACAGACAGAGUCAAUGUGGAAGUUUAUGAUGACACGUGGGAGGAAGACUAACGGAUAACAAGUGUGAGAAUCCUGGAGGACCCCCUGCUCAAACAAUGCGGAAUCUGGAGGUAUGUUCGAAGACAUCGAAUUGCCCACUGGGAGAAGUUACCAAGUUAUCCGUACCAGCGUCCUGGAGGAUCAACUCGACAACAGCAGCAUUCUCCCAGACCAGGUGUCUGACACUAAGGAGUCAUCACUUAGUGACUGGUGACUAAGGUGUCAUCACUUAGACUCCUGGAGGCCUUUCAUGGUGGGUCCCAGACCUGCUAGAAAGCAUUCCUACCCAGGCCUGGGAUUUUCUGAUUGGCUGUGAAAGCCCGGAGGGGAACGGCAUUCGAAGGAAUCUCUGCCCAACGAUCGAAGUCCUAUCUCGUAUGCCAGCUAGGAGGUCCUUUUAUCCUAUAAAGGCUGGCCAGGCCCUAUCUGGGGAAAUCAUGGCCCUCCUUGCCAACUGGAGGAAUAAACCUAUCAAUAUGCCAGUGUUUGUGCGGGAGUUUUAGCGGUCUGAUAACAGGAAAAGUGAAACUGUGUGGUUGGUGAGGGCUUGUCUAAGUGACUAACGUGGCAAGAGCUGGCACCACGUGGUGAACCACGGAGGUCAGCAGCUCACCAGAAGUCUGCAUGUGCGCCAGCUGCAGCCACAACUCACGUGGUCGAAGUCCUGAGUCCCACAGCAGCCAGCAGGUGGUGGUGGUGGUCGUCGGAUGGCGCAUCUGAGGCCUAGGAGAGGCGGUGAUCGGAUUCAGGUGGUGCGUGCCGCAGCGCUGCACAUCUCCGUCCUCCUCACCAUGCCCUGAGCGAGUGAACGGCCCAAGCCGAGCAACAGUGAUUGCACCCAAGGGGUCCCAGGGUGGGCUGUGGGCUGCUGCCAGAGCGGCGGGAGUAGGCGGCAGAGGCACACGGUAGGAAGGGCCUUUUUUCCAAUCCGAUGUCGGCUGCCACUGUUGGCAGUGGGGCGUUGGGCCAGGUAGCCAUGGGGAAAUCAAAUUCCACGUACGGGUCACCAGUGUUGGGGUAGAAAUCUUGGCUCGCGUCUGGACAGUACACAACAGGCCAACAUGAUUCCACGUGGAAAGGUUUAAUGAGAGAAGACUAGAAGAGGAGAGUAAAGGCCAGCCAUGAGCAUGUGGAGGGAAGAGGGUAGGAGGAUGGGGAAAGAAAGGAUGAAGGGGAAGAGGGGAAGAGGGCAGAGAAGAGAGAGCAAGAGAGAGAGGAGGGGUGUGCAAGCAGCCCCUUUUAUAGUCAGGCAUACCUGGCUGUUGCUAGGUAACUAUGGGGCGGAGCUUACCUGGCUGUUGCCAGGUAACUAUGGGGGUGAAGCUUAGAUAGAAUACCAACAGUUAUAUCAUAAAACAGCAGUAAUUCCAUUUUGUUAGGUGUGUAUAUAAGAAUACAUAACAUGUAUUUGUCUCAUCUCCUCUGAAUCCCUAAAGGGAUUUAAGGGCCUCACAUUCUUGGUCUCUUUAGCUCUCACUGUCUUCUUGGUUUUUGGUGUUAGCCCAUAGAUAGGGCAGCAAGCCUAUACUAUUUCACCACUGCUGCCACAUAAUGGAAUCUGAGUCCAGCCAGUGGAGCUGACUCAUCCAUGAGCCAUGUCUCUGGGACACAGUCUAGGCUGGCUGCAGUAUUUCAUUGGGACUGUACUUGAUCAGUGAAUGGUGACCUUGGUGGAUGGGGCAUCUAUCGUUAAUAAAACCAUGCAUAUAGAGAAGAAGA